UUCCGGUUGAUCCUGCCGGACCCGACUGCUAUUUGGGUGAGAAUAAGCCAUGCGAGUCGAAUGGGAUACCUAAACUUCCUGUGGCAAACUGCUCAGUAAUACAUGGUCAACUUAACCUAUAGAGAAAAAUAAUCUCGGGAAACUGAGGAUAAUAUUUCAUAGUUGAAUCGGCUUGGAAAAGUUUUUCAAUCAAAAGGAUAAGAAAAAUGGUUUUUAUUCGCUAUAGGAUAGGAUCGUGGACGAUUAUGGUUGUUGGUGAGGUAACGGCUCACCAAGCCGAUAAUCGAUAGGGGCCGUGAGAGCGGGAGCCCCGAGAUGGGUACUUAGACAACGACCCAGGCCUUACGAGGCGCAGCAGGCGCGGAACCUCCGCAAUACACGAAAGUGUGACGGGGUUACCCAAAGUGUUCAGUUUUGGACUGUGGUAGGUGAGUAAUGUUCCCUACUAGAAAGGAGAGGGCAAGGCUGGUGCCAGCCGCCGCGGUAAAACCAGCUCUUCAAGUGGUCGGGAUAAUUAUUGGGCUUAAAGUGUCCGUAGCCGGUUUAGUAAGUUCCUGGUAAAAUCGGGUAGCUUAACUAUCUAUAUGCUAGGAAUACUGCUAUACUAGAGGGCGGGAGAGGUCUGAGGUACUACUGGGGUAGGGGUGAAAUCUUAUAAUCCUUGUAGGACCACCAGUGGCGAAGGCGUCAGACUGGAACGCGCCUGACGGUGAGGGACGAAAGCCAGGGGAGCGAACCGGAUUAGAUACCCGGGUAGUCCUGGCCGUAAACGAUGCAUACUAGGUGAUGGUGUGGCCAUGAGCCGUAUCAGUGCCGUAGGGAAACCGUUAAGUGUGCCGCCUGGGAAGUACGGUCGCAAGGCUAAAACUUAAAGGAAUUGGCGGGGGAGCACCACAAGGGGUGAAGCCUGCGGUUCAAUUGGACUCAACGCCGGA
rnacentral:rRNA from 1 species